rnacentral:lncRNA from 1 species
AUGAAACAGGGGAAGCCAUGGAGCCGAGUUUUGUUGGCAUUGGACUCAGGAGGUUUGGUGGGCUCUUUUCAGACAUGCUGCCCACAGCAAGUUUUAUCAGAAGCCCAAGGGGCAAAGACCAAGUCAGCUUCAGUCUUUGGUGAGGAGCCCCACUGCAAUAUUGACGACAUCAUCUCAAUCAUGAUUGUAAGUUACCCUGUUGUCAUUAUGUGACUAUUAUUUUAUAAGCUUUAAUAAGUUGCUGGAGCAUUUAAGAUGAAUGAUUUCGAAGUCUAAAUUCACAUCACGCCAAAUAUGUAGGACAUGUUUUUCAUAAUUGUUCUUGUCCCUUGGGUCAGUAAUACAGUUUAUAAUCAUCAUAAAAUUUCAUUCUUAAAUCCUUUUAUCAGAAGGAAAAUAUGGAUGGUUAUUACCCAAUUAAAAUACUCCUGAUGCUUUUAAGGUACACAUUGUGGGGUUUUUGGAGUUUUACUGAAAACAAUUAAAAAAAGAGAGAGCAGCUGUGUGUCUUCAAAGUAUUUUUAAGUGCUCCGAGUUUGCAGAGAUAUUCAGCUGCUCUGUACCCUGUUUCCACCCGUCUGGUUCUCAUAUGAUCUGUGAUGUAAUCAAGGAAUAAUUGGAACAUUUUCCCCAUGUGAAAGGUGCAGGAGUGUGUGACUAAAGACAGAAUUUUCAUUUGGGAGCUAGAGAAUCCAUCUGAUACACACACACACUUGGCUUACAGUUACCGAGAGCAGGGACCAGGGAGAAGAUCACCAAAAACAUGAGACAAGUGCAUGAAUCUGAGUCUACUUCCUCUGCUGGACAGCCUACCAUUUGCUUUGUGAGAGAUGAGAGAGGUGUGCCCCUUGGGUGGAUGCUUUGUGCACGUGAUGUUUCUUUCUAGAUGAUUCCUAUGCCACUCGUGAGAAAGCAACCCAGUAGGAUGGACUCAGUUACAACGGCUACAAUUUCUUCCUGAGAAAUCAAAUGGAUCAAAGUGAUUCAUACCCACCAAAAGAAAAAUGUCUAGACAUCCAAAUUGCAUUUCCAUUCAUUAUGAAAAAUCAGAUACAUAUUUAGCCCCAUACUCCUUCCUUUAGGCACGCUCAGUUUCUUCUCUGAUCAUGACCUUAAACCGGAACUGUGUAGAAAUCUAUCUUGAUUUUCUCCCUCUUACUUAACCAAAAGGUCUUAAUUUCAUGUAUACGGGCAUCCAGUUCUCUGAAAAGAA